CCUACGGGAGGCAGCAGUGGGGAAUAUUGCACAAUGGGGGAAACCCUGCUGCAGCGACGCCGCGUGAGUGAAGAAGUAUUUCGGUACGUAAAGCUCUAUCAGCAGGGAAGAAAAUGACGGUACCUGACUAAGAAGCCCCGGCUAAAUACGUGCCAGCAGCCGAGGUAAUACGUAGGGGGCAAGCGUUAUCCGGAUUUACUGGGUGUAAAGGGAGGGUAGACGGGAGCGCAAGUCUGAAGGUAAAUCCGAUGGGCUAAACAUGGAAGUGCGUUGGAAACUGUGAGGCUGGAGUGGAGGAGAGGUACGCGGAAUGCGCGGUGUAGCGGUGAAAUGCGUAGAUAUUGGGAAGAACACCGGUGGCGAAGGCAGCUUACCGGC
rnacentral:rRNA from 1 species